CCACCAUGUCUUCGUAAGACCAUGCAAACACAUCCUAGAAUUGGGUUAGUAGCGCAACCAUGUCAUUCCAUUGGUUUGGGGUGAGGUCUGAACCAAUCUGGAUUAACUUAAGGCUUUCUAAGGUUCCAAGAUUGAAAGAAGUGGUUUGGUUAAGGUUGGAUUUAGGUUUGUCUGCGACCCAUUCCCUAAUCUCUUGAGGUG
rnacentral:lncRNA from 1 species